UAAGGGGAAUCUCCACAAUGGGCGAAAGCCUGAUGGAGCAACGCCGCGUGUGUGAUGAAGGGUUUCGGCUCGUAAAACACUGUUGUAAGAGAAGAAAUGACAUUGAGAGUAACUGUUCAAUGUGUGACGGUAUCUUACCAGAAAGGAACGGCUAAAUACGUGCCAG
rnacentral:rRNA from 1 species